rnacentral:rRNA from 1 species
GCCGCAGUAUAUUGACUGUGCAAAGGUAGCAUAAUCAUUAGUUUUUUAAUUGAAAGCUGGUAUGAAUGGUCGGAUGAGGAAGAUUCUGUCUCAUUAUAAUUUUAAUUGAAUUUUAUUUUUAAGUUAAAAAGCUUAAAUUUUAUAGAAAGACGAGAAGACCCUAUAGAGUUUAAUAGGUUUAUGUUGUAAUGAAUUUAGGGCUAUAUUUUUAUUAUGGCGUAUACUAUUUUGUUGGGGUGACACUAGAAUUUGAGUAACUUCUUUAUAUAUUAACACUGAUUAGUGAAUAUUGGAUCCUGAAGUUUGGAUUAUAAGACUAAAUUACCUUAGGGAUAACAGCGUAAUUCUUUUGGAGAGUUCUAAUCAAUAAAAGGGAUUGCGACCUCGAUGUUGGAUUAAAGUUAAAUUCUGGUGCAGAAGCUAGGAUUUUG